GAUGAACGCUGGCAGCGUGCCUAAUACAUGCAAGUCGAGCGAAUGGAUUAAGAGCUUGCUCUUAUGAAGUUAGCGGCGGACGGGUGAGUAACACGUGGGUAACCUGCCCAUAAGACUGGGAUAACUCCGGGAAACCGGGGCUAAUACCGGAUAACAUUUUGAACCGCAUGGUUCGAAAUUGAAAGGCGGCUUCGGCUGUCACUUAUGGAUGGACCCGCGUCGCAUUAGCUAGUUGGUGAGGUAACGGCUCACCAAGGCAACGAUGCGUAGCCGACCUGGGAGGGGGAUCAGCCACACUGGGACUGAGACACGGCCCAGAGUCCUACGGGAGGCAGCAGUAGGGAAUCUUCCGCAAUGGACGAAAGUCUGACGGAGCAACGCCGCGUGAGUGAUGAAGGCUUUCGGGUCGUAAAACUCUGUUGUUAGGGAAGAACAAGUGCUAGUUGAAUAAGCUGGCACCUUGACGGUACCUAACCAGAAAGCCACGGCUAACUACGUGCCAGCAGCCGCAGUAA
rnacentral:rRNA from 1 species